rnacentral:lncRNA from 1 species
AUGGCUUUUUUUAUUUUAAGUACGGUACUUCUAGGAAACUGCCUUUGUUUGGCACUGUAUAAACUUAGAAACUAUUACAGAGAAGCAUGGAAAUAUUUUCAUAGCAAUGCACAGUACAUUUAUGCAAACAGAUGGGAGCUGAAGGUAACAAUGAAAAUCUUCCUGACAGGAACUCUUCACAGACUGAAGCCUAUGCUGCCAAGGAAGAUCCUUAACUCUGCUGUUUUGUACCUCUCCAAAUCCACCACCAAUAAACGCUGGCAGUUGUGUUGAAAAACAACAAUCUGGCUCUUAAUGAUAGAGUGAGCAGGUAUUUCUGAGACUGUCUCCUGUGCACACCCUCACAUUAAGCUAAAUGUCACCAUCCCUUCCCUUGUUACUGGAGAGAUUGCAGCGACACUACUUUGAAAACCUGUUCCGCUGUUAUUUGUUCCCAUCUGAUUGACUAUUUGGCACAACUAGCACAACAAACAAUAGCUUAGAGCCGUUCCUAGUUCCUGAACAUUUAAAACAUGAGCCACCCUUGACUGAUGGAGUGUGUUGCGCUGUUAGACGCCCAACUCUGGUGGUAGUUGUUUGUCUGCUCACCUGCAGCAUUACCUUGAAGGAGAUGAAUAAUGUCAAACUCACUGUGAUGUGGAAUCACUCUUAAGAAGGGAUGAGAAGCGUGAGGUAAAGACAGAUAGACAACAGCAGAAUCAGUUGAUAACAUUAUGUAUGGCAGGAAUGCCCCAACUCUUUACAUUAGAGAGCUGCUUUGCCCUCUAGAAAAUGGUCGGUGUAUGUCAAAAACAAGCCACCUCCGUAGUGAACGUCCAGCUCUAUUUUUGUUUUGAAAAACAGGGAUUUGAACAUGUAAUUAUAGUAUUUUCCUGCAUAGGAAUAUAGCUGGGUUUGUGCAUAUGGUAAAAUGAAGGCAUCUGUCCCCCAAAUAAGAAUUCUGUCCCCCAAGUUAAAUUUUUCGAUAGUUCCCAAACUUCUAACAUUUCAGUUACUUAAAACAUCAGUUGUGCAUUUAGAAAUACAAUUUAGGCAUCUGAAGAAAAGGUGCAGGUAAAGUGAUCAAAUAAAUACCAAUUAGUGCAAAGGUCGGCGGACAGAUUACUAACUGGAGCUGGUUAUAGGGAGUAUAUCAUGCCCCCACUAAAGCAGCUCCACUGGUUGCCGAUGAGUUUCUGGAUCCAAUUCAAAGUGCAGGUUAUUACCUAUAAAAACUCUUUAUGCUUCAGGUCCAAUCUAUCUGCGGGACUGCAUCUCUUUCUAUGAACUUUAUGACAUACCAGGAAGGGCCUCCUCUCAGUCCCACCUCCGUCUGAAGUGUGGUUGGUGGGACGAGAGAGAGGGCCUUCUCAGUGGUGGUCCCCCAGCUUUGGAAUGCCCUCCUGAGGGAGAUCUGGCUAGCCCCUACCCUCCAAACCUUCUGCACACAAUUAAAGACCUGGCUUUUCCGACAAGGCUUUGAUCAUGUUUACACUCUCUAAUAAUACAUAUGAGAACCUUUAUUAGCACUUUACAAUUUUGAGGUCGUAUACUGCUGUUUUAUCUACAGCAAUUGCUGUAUUUUAUUGUUUAUUGUCUGUGUUUUGUUUUGCACUUGUUGUAUUUUGAAUGUUACACCUUGAGUGUUCUGUGAGUCGCCCCGAGUCCCUCUAGGAGAUGGUGGCAGGAUAUAAAUAAAUUAUUAUUAUUAUUAUUAUUAUUAUUAUUAUUAUUAUUAUUAUUAUUAUUAUUUAGCAAAUAUAAGCAUUCUAAAUCUGAACAGGAACCCCCGGUGGUGCAGUGUGUUAAAGUGCUGAGCUGCUGAACUUGCAGACUGAAAGGUCGCAGGUUCAAAUCUGGGGAGCGGAGUGAGCACCCGCUGUUAGCUCCAGCUUCUGUCAACCAAGCAGUUCGAAAACAUGCAAAUGUGAGUAGAUCAAUAGGUACCACUCUGGCAGGAAGGUAAUGCCGCUCCAUGCAGCCAUGCCGACCACCUGACCUUGGAAGUGUCUACGGACAACGCUGGCUCUUCAUCUUAGAAAUUGAGAUGAGCACCAACCUCCAGAGUUGGACAUGACUGGACUUAAUGACACAUCUCUGCAAUGCUAGAAAUGUGAAGCCUGAAAAAUAAUUUCAUUCAGGAGAGGGAGAAUUCUUGUUUUGGUGGUAAAUCCUUCACUUUAACCCUCCCAAUAGUUACACCCUUGAAUUUGCAUUUCUAAAUAAUAUUCACAUUUGCACCGACUGCAAAAACAUGUUGCAAUAAUAAUAAUAAUAAAUAGUGGAGGAAGGCAUUCAAACAUAGACACAUCUGUAGUCCAUGAGAAAAUAACCCCGAUAUUUUAAGACCAACCAAAAUACCACAGAAGUGUGAAAGGUUUUGGGUUCUCAUCAGGCUAAGUGGCACCUAAACAAAAUAUUGUAUCCACAAGGUCUGCACAGUGAAGAGCUUUCAGACUUAAAAACAGAUCAAUCAACACAUGGAAAAUGAAAAACAGAAUCCCAGUAAUGGGAGCCUACGACAACAGCAGCUAUGCAAAGCCACUAUAAGCUUUAGCAAACAACCAAGCCUUAACAUGUCUUACUGCCUGGUGAUUAAAAGGAUGGAUAAACUUUUCACCCCACCUUGAUUAAAAUCUUGUAUAGCAAUCAGGAAACCGGUUUAGCCAAGGAAGGACCUUGACAUUCCCAUCUAUACCUUGUGGCAUUAUCAAUAUUCAUGACACUUCAUAGAGUAAUGUAAACAACAGGAGCAAAAACAAAAUUCAGUUAAUAGAUCCCUGAACCAAAGGGUAUCCAUGAAAUGCUGGCCCACAAUUUCAGACAAUUUCUCUUUGCUGCUGUGGGAUCCUCCUCCCAAAAGUCUUAGGAAUAGAUGGAAAGCACAUGGGGUGUUUUCACAAAGCCCUAUUUCAUUUGUAGAGCAAGGUUGUUGUUGUUUUGUCUCAGGCAAAGGAUAAACGGUGUCCCUGCUUCCUCAAAAUGAAUCAGAUGGGCAGGUGAAGCUUAUCUCGGCACCGUCAGUGGGAUGGGACCUCCACCUCUUUAGAGGGCAUCAGUUCAAGUUGCAAUGCGUAGAACAAAUUGUGUGGCAAUGAUCUCCAAAAGAAGGGGGAAAGUUGGGACUCAGAAAAGUUGAUGGGUUGCCAUCCCUCCCCACAUCUACCACAUGAAGGGACAAUUUCUUUUUGCCCAAUGGCAAGGCUGGUCACUCCACUAGUGAUUUAAGACUGAUGUUUACAGGGUUACUGCUCUGCACCCUUUACUUGCCCUCAUCCAGUCCAUUACUGAUGACAGGCACUGGUUUAGGGUCAGGACAGCUUCCUUGGUUUAGGUGGGAAGGAACAGUACAAUUGGGUGUCAUCUGCAUAUGUGUGGCACCAUACUCCAAAACUCCAGAAUGACAUUUCCCAGCGGUUUCAUGUAUAUGUUAAACAGCAUGAGGGACAAAAAGGAACCCUGAGACACCCCACAGGUCAACAGCCAGGGGUUCAAAGAGGACCACCUUCUGGGUACAGCCCUCCAGGAAGGAUCAAAGCCACUGUAAGAUAAUGCCUCUCAGUGCCAUCCCAGUGAGACGACCCAGAAGGAUACCAUGGUCAAUGGUAUCGAAAGCCACUGAGAGAUACAGGAGCAGUUAAUAUUCAAAUUAUGGCUUUGCUUUUUGCUGACUACUGGUCCACUGGUCAGCAGUGCAUUUGCUAAUGGCACAAGUAUAGCUGCAGUGCUGCCAUAGGGCAUAAAGUACCUUUGCAAUCCCAUUGCUGUUCGCUUUAGCUCACUCACUCCAAAUAUUGCAUAAAAUGAACUUGCAGAAAUAACAUUGUCAGAAGUUAAAUCCGUAAGAAAUUCAGUCCUUACUACCUAGAGAAACAGCUGUGGAUCUGGGCGGGAGGCAGAUUGUGUUGGAUAAUCCAGAACAUUGGAUAAGCGAAGGUUGGAUAAGCAAGACUCUACCUGUAUUUACUCAGGUCUGAUGUGCCAUUGAAUCUAAUGCGCACCUCAAUUUUCAAAACCCUGAAACAAAACAAAAAAAUCACUAGUGAAUGUAAUGCACAGUGGCAAAUAGUGCAGCCUUUGUCGUUUGGCCAAAAAAGGUACACAUUACAGUUGCUGUGUGCUUAGAAUGCCUUCUUUAAAAACAAAACUGUUAGAACACCAAAGCUUCCAACAAUGGAAAGGAAAACUUUGAGAUGCAUCUAUGCUGUAGAAUGAAUCCACUUUAACUGCCCUGGCUCAUUGUUAUGAAAUCAUGUAGUAUUACAGGGUCUUGCGCUUUCUCUGCCAAAGAAUGCUGAUGCCUUACCAGACUACAAAGCCCAGGAUUGCAUAGCAUUGUGCCAUGGCAAUUACAUUUGAGGUGACAUCCCUCAAAUAGGAGCUCCAGGUGCCUCUAAAGCAGCUUACCCUUUUGCUUUGGCUCAGUACUAUUACACGCAUCUAUGUGCACCCUAAUUUUGGCGAAGACAUUAAGUAAAAAAAAAAAGUGAGCAGUAGAUUCGCCUAAAUAUGUGUUGAGCAGCUUCACACUAUCCUUUCACCUUUGAACAUGUCAGCAGCUGAACAUCUUUUCAGCUUGUGUCCAGGUGUGUCAUUUGCCAAAAUGCUACUUGUUGUCCUCUGGAAUAGCCCAGUAGCUUGCUGUAUGCCAUCUGACCUAGAAGUUGCAUCUUCUGCCACUAUCUCUCUCUUGUUCCAUUUUGGAUUGUCUCAUCAUAGAUUUCUCAUGGUAAAAUUAAUCCAAAGUGGGUUAACCUUUCCUUCUAUGCAUUACUAACAAGUAAUGCAUAGAAGGCAAGGUAAGUCAUGGUGUCACUGCUGUUUAAUGUUGAACACAGUUCAGCCUUAUAAGAGCAAGACUUCGAUGCAGUCCCUCUUCUCUCACAUCUCUUUGUGCAAUGAUAUUAGAAACACCCACUCCUAGUUUGUGGCAAACAAUGUUUUAUCUGAACCUAGCAAACUGUGGUUUGCAAGCAAAUAGACUUGCAGGUCAAUCAUGAUCAAAGAUUGUAAUAUGCGAGCACCAUAGACUUGGGAGUAAGAUACCAACAAACCAUGGUUUGACAUUAUGCCUGAAUAAUCCAGGGUGUUGCAGAAGUUCAAUAAAUCGGAAUAGCCUU